GAGGGUGUAGCUCAAGUGGUAGAGCUCAAGCUUAACAUGCAUGAGGUCCUGGGUUCAAUCCCCAGUACCUCCU
rnacentral:tRNA from 1 species